UUUUGGUGUUCAAAAAGAUUCUACAAUGGAAAUAUUUAAAACUUAAUUAAUUUUAAUGGUUUACUUAAACUAAAAGAACCAAUAAAACAAAAUUAUUAAAAAGAUUUACUCAAUUGAGCGUAUUAUAAAAUUUGAUUAUAAUUGUAAAAAUCCAUUGUUAAAUUCAGGUGAAACUAAAAAUCAUUUUUUUUUUAGAUUUAUGUUUUAUAUAGCAACAUAUUACAAAAAAAUUUAGAAUAUUGUAGACUGGAAAAGCUGGUUAAGCUACAUUUUAUUUGAAUAAGAGAUUGUAAGCUAAACUAAUAAACAUCAGCCUCACUUUACAAGGACCCCAAGAAGGGUCCACCCUGGGCCGAGGCAAAGCCGGAGCACCAGGGAUUUUGUACCUUAUUCUAUGGUGAAAGGUAAUGAAGAAUAGUAAUUCUUUAAGAUAACAAAGAUUAAAAUUUAUUAAUUAUUACAAGUUCAAUUUUUGUUUAUCAUAACAACUAAACUUAAUAGACAAUUAAAUUUUACUAAUAAACAAAAUAGAUCUAAAUAUAUCCGAAUAAACCGUAGUAUGUUAAAUAAAAUACUAUGAAAAUUAAACAAUGGUCAAGGAUCAGAAAAAAAAUAUAUGAGUAAAAGGUAAGUAAGGCAAUAACAGAAAGAAAAACAGGUACCUUUAGAUAAACCCAGUUAAUAUGAUUUUGGCCUAAUAAAUGUUUUUUUAUGUACAUGCAACAUUUUACACCCAUAAAGGUAAAACAGUGAAUGGUGAUUGAUUGCAAUUAUAUAGAGUUAACUGUCUACAGACAGACUGGCUUCAGAAUGGUCUUUGUAUUUUGUGAGUUGUAUAAUUACACAUGGCCCAUGUGGUUUAAACAUAAUGUUCACAUAAUCAGUAUUUAAGAGUUCAUUUCAGAACAACUUAACAUAUCAAAUAUUAACUGGAUCAAAUAAUUAAUUUAAUAAUGUAACAACAAGAGAAAACACAAAGAAAAUAGGAGGGUAACGUGGGUAUGACAGAUCCAUCGUAUGGGUCAGGGUAAAAUGGACAUGUCACCAACGUCAAUAGGUAUCCUCUACAUAAGUGUAGAGGACCCAUUAAGAUGUUCACCAUGUCCACUCUGACCACACCCGAGAACCUGUCAACUCACGUAAGGUGAAGAAAGAAAAAUUAAAGAAACAGAAAGAAUUGACCAUAUAACAUAAUCUGAGAUCAUAGUUACAAUCCAUAUAGUCAUUAACUAAAAAAUAAGAGGAUGACGAAAUAGUCAUAGCCCAAAACACAAUGAAGUAAUUUACAUAUGCAAGCAGUGGCGGCUCGUGGGUCUCGGAAGUGACGAGGAAUGAGCGCCACUAAAAAAAAAAAAAUUACAACUAUUGAAAAACAAUCAAAUUUAUACAAAGUUAAAAUUCAUCUUCAGUACUUGAGUAGUACUUAAAUAGAGGUUACGGAGAUUGCCACGAACUGAUAAUGCUUCGACAUUCAUAUACUCCGACAUUGUAAAAAAAUCCCCCGAAUACAUUUACUCCGACAACAAUUACUACGAAUACCUCGUUACAAAAAUUUGGAUAUUACUACGACGAUGAAUACUACGAAUAGGAAAAUUAGUUGAUUGCUCCGAAUAUCGAUUAAAAAAUUAUCAAAUUUCGGAGUAGAUGAUUAUCGUAGCAAUAUAUUAUCUGAUGGAAAAAUAUAACAUGAUACACGUUAAGCUAACGAGAUGAAAACAUUGGCAAAAUAAUCAUCUUUUCGCAGUGUCGGCCUGGCUCAGAAGGCCUUCAUUAAAUUUAAGAUUUUUUUCUCGCUGGACCAUGGAGAAUUAUCUGAAAGGUCAUUAAGGAAAAUUGCCUCCGGGAUCAUCUCUAAGGUUCCAGACCGACACUAUUUCCUAAUAAAUAUCGAUUAGAUCUGGCCAAAGCUGAAAGUCAUUCAAAUGAGGAUGAUCUUUGAACAAAAACAACACUGUCAAAAAAAAAAUGUUUUAAUUUUUGACUAUUUUCUUAUUAUACCUUACUAUAUAGACAGUACACAAAUAAAAAAAAAAAUGUGAU